rnacentral:lncRNA from 1 species
UGUCAGCGAUUUGUUUCCUGGGAUCUAUCUUAUGUGUGGCUGUGUGCAGCCUGUAGGUCCUUUGUCCUCUUUGAGAGACGUCACAUACUCAAGGUAUAGAAGGGCUCUCGGACCGGGAGUCAUCAUGGUCUAUAAGUUAAUCAUCAAUGGUUUUCUUCAUAGUUAGCAUCAAAUCUUGUGUGAUUAACUUUCCAGAUAGAACUAUAAUGCUCGAAAAGUUACCUUCAUAAGAUAUGUCUUUGUAGUAUAUAUGAUACCUUCAUAAGAUAUGUCUUUGUAGUAUAUAUGAUACCUUCAUAAUGACCAUGUGUUCUGAUGUGGAUGCUUGCUUAUGUGGCUGCAGAUCGACUUGCGAAUUAGAGAAGAGUAUUUUCACCAAAAUUGAGUUGAGAUAUUUUUGUUCGUCUUGGUUGUGUUGAAUAUAUGAUUUAGCUACAGAUAAUCAUUAAUCAACUAAUGCAAUUUCUUUGCCAAGCUGUAGUUAGAGUUAAUGUGCCACUGCUUAUUUUAUAUCCUUUAUUUAUUCUUAUUCUUCUAAAUGAAAUAGGAGAUUUGUUGGUGCUCCAUUAACUAAAUAUCGCUGACAAAAUGUUGUCCUCAUUUCACUUGAGAGAAAAAUUGCGUACUGUGUGAACCAACUGGUGAUUCAUGUUGCUUCCCUGGAUAUUGAUGUCACUGGUGAUUUUAUAUCAUUUGUUACUAUUCUUUAAUCGCCAAAUCAUAUAGGAGAUUAUGUUGGUGCCCAAUUGACCAAAUGUUGCUGAAAACUGACAAAAUGUUGUUCUGGUUUCAGUUUGAGCGCAAAUUGCAUACUGUAUAAACUAACGGGAGAUUUCUGUUGUUCCGAGAAUAUUGUAGGAAGGCUGGACUAUAAUGGGAAACAUUGGUGUUUCUAAGACAGAUGUUCUGUGUUUGAGAUCUUGCCUUGGUGGCUGGAUGCCUUGGUACAAGACAUUCAAGGUAAGAUUGAUCUCCUCUACCCAUGAGUUCACUUCUCAUGUAGAGCUAAUAGUCCUGUUAUUUUUCUAUACACUAUGGCAGAGUAGAGAUAUAUUGUGUAUGCCAACAUGUAUGUAAGAGUAAUAAUAAUAUGAUACUUCUGAUUGUAGAUCCAAGGUUUAAACCGACAAAAAAUGCUCUCAGUUCUCAUAUCAAUUUUUUAUGCCAGCUGUGCAUGCUCAAAGAUUUUGGUCGGCAACUUAUAGUGUGUAUCAAAGGAUUCUGAAAAAUAAAUAAGGUUGAGUUGUUAUUGGACAUUGGACCUUUAUAUCUUUUGCAUGAAAAAAUGAUGCCUUGAGUGACAAAUAUCCUAGCAAGCUUGGUGUUUUCUGCUUUGGAAUUUCUUUUUAUUUACUAAUAUGCAUUCUCUACAAAUAAUUUGCAUCGCUUGGAUGAGGACAUCAUCAAAACCAUGACACCUUUUUGAGGCUGAGAAGAGUUGAAAGGUUCAAAGUGGUGAUUGUGUUGGUUGUACCUUGCGUGUUAUUUCCUACUGGGCUAUAAAUGGAAAACAAUUGAUCCCUUUCCCUUUAAUUUGUUUGACGACUGAAUUAAAGUUAGUGCAAGCAUGUUUCAGUUAAUAGGAUGUUCUAUGUUUUUACAGGUCAUUGCGGUUGUCGUUCCCAUGAUCCCGUCGUUCGCGUAUGUUCGUUUGUUUACUCGGUCAUUCCUAGAGAGUAUAAUUCAUGUGCUCUGUCUUGGUUGAUAAUGUAUACUUCUCUUGCUUUCUUACUGUUGAGGAGAUGGAUUAGAUAUAUAUUGUACUUCUAGGCAUGUCCUUGGUCUCUGCAAAGUACUUUUUGUUGGUGCCUUCCUUGCUUUAUUUGGUACCUUGCUAUUUCCCACUGUCGAUUAGGAGACAAAUAUGGCAUCAACCCCUAUCCUUGCUCUUUGCAGAGGAGGUUUUUGUUCUUUUGUUUGAUAUAUAUAGGUGUUAAAAGACGAGUAGUGAGUUGAGUCAGUGGCAGGGUAGUCUUGGCAGGGUAGUCUGGAUGAGUCUAUCUAAGUAUAUAAGUCUGUUGUUGGUCUGCUUCCUUUGAUUAUCCUGAUUUUGCGCUUAGAAUUAACUCAAAUUUGUACUUAUGCUUGAUGGGUGAUUGGAUGUGUGUGUGUGUGCGUGUGCGUGUGUGGGUGUGUGGGUGUGGGUGUGGGUGUUGGUGUGGUGUGGUGUGGUGUGCAUGCGUGCGCACGCGUGUGCGUGUGUGUCCUUGGUAACUUCAAUUUGCAAAGCUUCUCAAACGGCUAGGUUGUUUAUCUAUUAUUUUACUCUCUAAUGUCAACUCUGCCUCUUUUUUCUUCAGUCCUUUUGUUGUUUGUUUUGUUAUGCAACCUUUGGCGUUGUAGUGCAUAUAACUUCUGAUUGCUUCAUGGGCAUUGCUUACUUUCACUUGGGAGUACCCCGAUUUUUGAAUUGCUGUGUUCAUAGCUACAACGUUUUAAUGUAUUACUUCUUACGAAUUAUUGUCACUUUAAGAUUUGAAGAAAAUUUCUAUUGUGUUAUCUUUCUCUUUAGCUUGGAAGUAAGAGUAGCCUUUCCGAUAUCAACGGCCUAUGUUGAAUAAUAUUGUUACAACAAUGAAAACAACUUGCAAAGGUGGAGAUGGAGAGAAAGUUGUUGAUGCUCAAGCCAUGCGAUGAAGUAUGUAGCAAGAAGAGACGAAUGAUGAAACUGUAAGGCUUAUUCUUAGGUUGUAUCUGUUGUGGCAUCGACCUUAGUUUUUUUACUGCUGCUGAUGUUGGCCAUUUGAUGAAUAAUUGAUGAAUGCUCGAUUGUUUAGAGUUGAAUCUAUGAAUAUACCAGUAAUACAAGAUAGUUGUGAUGUGUCUGUUUUAUUUUUCAAUUUUCUAAAAAAUGAAACAUAACUCUUUAGACGGCAUAUCGCCAUUAAUUUGGCUCUCACAUAUGUUGAUACGAAUUUGCUAUACAUGAAUGAUUCAGCCUAAGCAAUCAUUAAAUGUUUUGUUCAAACGCCG